UCGAGCUAUUGGAGCAGCAGUACGGGUUUCGUUGCGCGGACCGGAUUGCACCUGCUGCCGCGCAGUAGCAUACGCACUUCUUAUUGAUGCAUGCGAAGAUUUCAAGAGAACGCACCUAAAUACCUGUGUGCGUGAAGUUAUUUACGGUUUAUUUAUGUUAUGAAUAUCACACUGUAAUCGCAAACUCAUCGCGCGCAUGAGAGCUGCUGAAAUGCGCUCUAAAGGAUCGAGACGAGCAACAGCUCUUAAUACCAUCGUCAUCAUCAUCAUUACGCAAGAUAAAGCGGAACAGGCGCUUCGACGAUGAAGCAAAACUUCGCAGAACACAAGAGCCGGUUGGAUGUCUCUGAGAAACACACAGGAGUGAAGAUUACUGAGAAAUCGAAAAUGGUUUUGAAUCACCAGCUACGCAUAUUUCCAUAGGAGAUCCCGAGAGAUAAAAGACUGUCAGAGAAUGCGGGUGAGCUAAACAGCAGAAGGAAGUGGCCGAUUUUGGCAGAGAGAGCUGCUGGAGGAUUGUGGGUAGUGAUCGACAAAUUAGAGUGAAAGUGAAGGAUCAUGUGACUCACGC